UGUGUCCUGAGGGAGGAUCAUGGAGGGAGCAGGCUGAUGACACAGUUCCUGAGUUUCCAGCCUUUCUGGGCUGUGUUUUCCUUUCUGAGCACAGAGGCGACCUUCUGGGAACACUCUUUCUGCAGAUGCCUGCCGGGAAGAUAAAGAUGGCAUAAGAAAGGGCAGAAGAGACUGGAAUAUCCCAGAGCCCAGGGCUGGGGAUCCCACUCAGGGUGCAGGUACACGCUUGCCCUCCCCCAUCUGGAUGGGAAGAUCAGAAGAGUUCCUGUUAUUCUCCGUUCCCAGACCUUGAACAUGUAGGGAUUCAGGUUCACCUCCGCCCUCUCUUCCUGGUGGGUCUGCAGGUAAUUUCUGCUGCCCGCCCAGUAUCCUGACAGGGAGGAGGCAGGAGAUGCAGUGCGGCUGGCCUCGAACCCUCACCCUCAGGCAACCAAGGUGGAUAUUGCCUACAGGAUCACUUUGCGCUGUGCAGUGAGAAAGGAUGCUUGGUUUCAUAAAAAAUGUGAAAUGUACCCAAGUUGACUUUUCAGAAAAUCAAAUUAAAAUGCCACCACUGUUUAUUUACUUUUUAAUUUUUUCCAGCUUUGGGGCCUUACAC